AUGCCUAAUACAUGCAAGUCGAACGGUAACAGGUCGCUGUGAUCCCUUCGGGGUGAACUUGAUGCUGACGAGUGGCGGACGGGUGAGUAAUACUUAGGAAUCUGCCCAGUAGUGGGGGACAACCAGGAGAAAUUCUGGCUAAUACCGCAUACGCACUACGGUGGAAAGUGGGGGAUCUUCGGACCUCACGCUAUUGGAUGAGCCUAAGUCGGAUUAGCUUGUUGGUGAGGUAAUAGCUCACCAAGGCGACGAUCCGUAGCUGGUCUGAGAGGACGAUCAGCCACACUGGGACUGAGACACGGCCCAGACUCCUACGGGAGGCAGCAGUGGGGAAUAUUGGACAAUGGGCGCAAGCCUGAUCCAGCAAUGCCGCGUGUGUGAAGAAGGCCUGCGGGUUGUAAAGCACUUUCAGUAGAGAAGAAAAGCCUAGGGUUAAUACCCCUGAGUCUUGACGUAACCUACAGAAGAAGCACCGGCUAACUCCGUG
rnacentral:rRNA from 1 species